AGAAAUUUUGAAAAAGUAAUCAAAAAGCUUCUAACUUUCUUAAGUUGGUUAUAACCCAUCAAUUUCUA
rnacentral:tRNA from 1 species